rnacentral:misc_RNA from 1 species
UGGUUUGGCGCUUACGGCUCUGUUGUCCGUGGCGACGCCGGAGACGACGAACAUGAGGUUGAAGGAGAUGAUGAACUCGACGACGAGCGACUGCGCGUCCGAGCCGGCGGGCACCGUGCCGAAGAAGUGCUCCCGCGCGCUCCCGAACAGGAGGCGCAGCGUCAGGCUGGCCGCCGUGGCCCCCGUGACCUGCGCCGCCGCGUACGCCGGCACCUGCCUCCAGGGGAAGCGGCCGCAGGUGGCGAAGGCGAGGGAGACGGCCGGGUUGAGGUGCGCGCCGGAGAUGUGGCCCACGGAGUACACCAUCACCAUCACGGCCAGGCCCCACACGGCGCAGAUGCCCGGGAACGUCACCGUGCCGCCCGUCCGCAGGUUCACCGCCACCGCCGCGCACCCGGCGAAGAUCAGGAAGUAGGUCCCCAACGCCUCCGCCAGGAUCUGCAACCACCCCAAUUAAACGUACGUCGUGUCGUCGCACACGCACACUCACGUCACACAAACCAUCAAGAAAGCUACCUUCUGCACGAACGGCACGGAGAACAUGGGGCGGCGACCGGCUCCGUCCUGCUCCGAGCUCUCACACCCCGCUCCAUCGACUCCGCCUCCUCUGCCUUCCUCCAAAUCCAGGGCGCCGUCGUGCACGCCGUUGGCAACCUCUGCUCCUGCCAUCUCUGCC